rnacentral:lncRNA from 1 species
CAGGUGGAGCAGAUGCUGAAGGAGCUGACGGACAGUAAGAACAACCUGGCCUAUGAGAAAGGGAAGCUACAGCUGUGUGAGCUGGAGGGCUGGCUAGGUGUGUCUCGUCAGGGUGGGGGCAGUGUGGCUCAGACCCUGGAGAAUAUUUUGGCCUCCCACUCCCGUCUGCAACACAACACAGAGUCUGUACAGAAGGAGGUGGGGCGACGAGAGCAGGAGCUAGCCUCACUCAGGAGAGAUGGGUAGGUGUGUGUCUGUCUGUCUGUCUGUUGUGCAUGUAUAUAUGGGUGUAUGUUUGAACAACCAAUGUAUUUGUCAGACUGCAGGGUCAGAGAGAGAUUCAGAGGCUACAGGCAGAGGUGGAGAAGCUCAAAGAAAAACGAAAUGCUGGAACCCUUGCAUAAGAACCUGGAUGUGGCAAGGCUGGACAACAAGAAACUAGCCCAGAGUUUGGAGCAGGUUGUGUUGGCCAACGGCCCUCUGCAGGCCAACCUAGACCAAGCCAGAGAUCCCAGAACACCAUCACACAGAGAGAGACGGAGCUGGCUGAGGCCAGAACAGAUAUUGGUCGAUGAUCAGAGCAUCUGGAAUCUAUAA